rnacentral:rRNA from 1 species
UGAUCCUGGCUCAGGACGAACGCUGGCGGCGUGCUUAACACAUGCAAGUCGAACGCUGAAGACCUGGCUUUUGUUGGGUUGGAUGAGUGGCGAACGGGUGAGUAACACGUGAGUAACCUGCCCCCUUCUUUGGGAUAACGCCCGGAAACGGGUGCUAAUACUGGAUAUUCACUGGCCUUCGCAUGGGGGUUGGUGGAAAGGUUUUUUCUGGUGGGGGAUGGGCUCGCGGCCUAUCAGCUUGUUGGUGGGGUGAUGGCCUACCAAGGCUUUGACGGGUAGCCGGCCUGAGAGGGUGACCGGUCACAUUGGGACUGAGAUACGGCCCAGACUCCUACGGGAGGCAGCAGUGGGGAAUAUUGCACAAUGGGCGCAAGCCUGAUGCAGCGACGCCGCGUGAGGGAUGACGGCCUUCGGGUUGUAAACCUCUUUCGCUCAUGGUCAAGCCGCAACAGUGGUUGUGGUGAGGGUAGUGGGUAAAGAAGCGCCGGCUAACUACGUGCCAGCAGCCGCGGUAAUACGUAGGGCGCGAGCGUUGUCCGGAAUUAUUGGGCGUAAAGGGCUUGUAGGCGGUUGGUCGCGUCUGCCGUGAAAUCCUCUGGCUUAACUGGGGGCGUGCGGUGGGUACGGGCUGACUUGAGUGCGGUAGGGGAGACUGGAACUCCUGGUGUAGCGGUGGAAUGCGCAGAUAUCAGGAAGAACACCGAUGGCGAAGGCAGGUUACUGGGCCGUUACUGACGCUGAGGAGCGAAAGCGUGGGGAGCGAACAGGAUUAGAUACCCUGGUAGUCCACGCUGUAAACGUUGGGCACUAGGUGUGAGGCUCCUUUCCGGGGGUUUUGCGCCGUAGCU